AAGUAAAUAACUAAAAAAGUAUAUCACUUACAAUGAUAAAAUGGCUUAUACCCUUUACUUU
rnacentral:tRNA from 1 species